rnacentral:misc_RNA from 1 species
AUAAUUUCCCGGUAAUAAACCUAGAAAAUACGAUUUUUACUUGAACCCGAGGUAGGCUAUUAUGGCUUCAAGCUGCGGUUCUUUGGCAGGAUCGUAUUUUUCUUUUAAGCUC